GUGCUCACUUUGGCAGCACAUACGCUAAGACUGGAACAAAACAGAGAUUAGCAUGGCCCCUGCAGAAGGGCAAGAUGCAAAUCCGUGAAGUAUUCCACGUUUUU